GGGAGCGCCACCACCGCCGCCCUUCCGCUCCUCAACAGCUGACAGGAUGGAAUUCGUGACUGCCUCGAGCGGUUGGAGCUUGGAAGCCACGCUGAGAAGGUGGGCGCGGGAGAUGCAAGUGAGGCACGAAUAGACUCGUUUCGCCGUUCGCUUGCCUACUUGCUUGCCUACCUCACGCAGGACUGCUGGUUAUGGCAUCCUCACAAAGCAAUAAAAGCUCCCGCCGCUUACAGGGGGUACCAUGACUCACAACCGGAUUCGCCUCGUAUUUUCACUUCUGACUGGGGAUGAAACCGCCCUGCGUGUCUCACCGGGACCCUCGUUCGACAUUCAUCCCGCCAACAUAAAUUAAUAAGGUGGAAGCCUUCCAAUGCGCUGCGUACAACAGUGCCGCCACAAGCUGGCCAUCGCGCUGCACCCGCACGGGACGACCCGACCCAAGCAAAC
rnacentral:lncRNA from 1 species